AAGUAAAGUGGUUUAAAUAAAAUAUAAGAUUGUCAUUCUUGAGAUGCAUGUUGAUGUUUUUACUUU
rnacentral:tRNA from 1 species